AUUGAACGCUGGCGGCAGGCCUAACACAUGCAAGUCUAACGGAGUGGCGGACGGGUGAGUAAUGUCUGGGAAACUGCCUGAUGGAGGGGGAUAACUACUGGAAACGGUAGCUAAUACCGAAUACUAUCAGAUGAGCCUAGGUCGGAUUAGCUAGUUGGUGGGGUAAAGGCCUAACAAGUCGACGAUCCGUAACUGGUCUGAGCGGAUGAUCAGUGACACUGGAACUGGGACACGGUCCAGGCUCCUACGGUAGGCAGCAGUGGGGAAUAUUGGACAAUGGGCGAAAGCCUGAUCCAGCCCUGCCGCGUGUGUGACGAAGGUCUUCGGAUUGUAAAGCACUUUAAGUUGGGAGGCGUUACCAACAGAAUAAGCACCGGCUAACUUCGUGCCAGCAGCCGCGGUAAUUC
rnacentral:rRNA from 1 species